rnacentral:rRNA from 1 species
UAGGGAAUCUUCCGCAAUGGGCGAAAGCUUGACGGAGCAACGCCGCGUGAGUGAUGAAGGUCUUCGGAUCGUAAAACUCUGUUAUUAGGGAAGAACAAAUGUGUAAGUAACUAUGCACGUCUUGACGGUACCUAAUCAGAAAGCCACGGCUAACUACGUGCCAGCAGCCGCGGUAAUACGUAGGUGGCAAGCGUUAUCCGGAAUUAUUGGGCGUAAAGCGCGCGUAGGCGGUUUUUUAAGUCUGAUGUGAAAGCCCACGGCUCAACCGUGGAGGGUCAUUGGAAACUGGAAAACUUGAGUGCAGAGGAAGAAAGUGGAAUUCCAUGUGUAACGGUGAAAUGCGCAGAGAUAUGGAGGAACACCAGUGGCGAAGGCGUCUUUCUGGUCUAUAACUGACGCUGAUGUGCGAAAGCGUGGGGAUCAAACAGG